AUAGUUACCUGGCGUGGAGAUACCGUGAUCAUGCAGACGGUUCCCCCAGGGUGAGGUUGCUCCAUUGCUCUGCGGAGUGGUUGGUGGUUGACCCUUGCGAAGCUGCGAUUAUUCUUAGUUUUUAUAAGUUUCACUUCUAC
rnacentral:snRNA from 9 species